GGAGGGAUGGCCGAGUGGUUUAAGGCGGCGGUCUUGAACACCGCUGAACCCAAAAGUUCCGUGGGUUCGAAUCCCACUCCCUCCGCCA
rnacentral:tRNA from 1 species